rnacentral:rRNA from 1 species
UAAUACGGAGGGCGCGAGCGUUGUUCGGAAUCAUUGGGCGUAAAGCGGGUGUAGGCGGCUUGACAAGUUGGGUGUGAAAGCCCUGGGCUCAACCCAGGAAAUGCACUCAAAACUGUUUCGCUAGAGUCCCGGAGAGGGUGGCGGAAUUCCCGGUGUAGAGGUGAAAUUCGUAGAUAUCGGGAGGAACACCAGUGGCGAAGGCGGCCACCUGGACGGUGACUGACGCUCAGACCCGAAAGCGUGGGGAGCGAACAGGAUUAGAUACCCUGGUAGUCCACGCCGUAAACGUUGGGUGCUCGACGUAGCGGGUAUUGACCCCUGCUGUGUCCAAGCUAACGCGAGAAGCACCCCGCCUGGGGAGUACGGUCGCAAGGCUA